rnacentral:tRNA from 1 species
GGGCAGGUCACAGGAACAGUAUCCAUGUCUCCGCCAGGCGCCUUCUAAGCGCUUGGCCGCAGGUUCGAGUCCUGCCGGGG